CGGCAAGCCUGACGACGCAACGCCGCGUGGAGGAUGAAGGUCUUCGGAUUGUAAACUCCUGGUUGCCCCGGGAAGAACGGCCCCGACCUAACGACGUCGGGGUUUGACGGUACCGGGUGAGGAAGCCCCGGCUAACUCUGUGCCAGCAGCCGCGGUAAUACAGAGGGGGCAAGCGUUGUUCGGAAUUACUGGGCGUAAAGGGCGCGUAGGCGGCCUCCUAAGUCGGACGUGAAAUCCCCGAGCUCAACUCGGGAACUGCGUCCGAUACUGGUUGGCUUGAAUCCGGGAGAGGGAUGCGGAAUUCCAGGUGUAGCGGUGAAAUGCGUAGAUAUCUGGAGGAACACCGGUGGCGAAGGCGGCAUCCUGGACCGGCAUUGACGCUGAGGCGCGAAAGCCAGGGGAGCAAACGGGAUUAGAUACCCCGGUAGUCCUGGCCCUAAACGAUGAAUGCUUGGUGUGGCGGGUAUCGAUCCCUGCCGUGCCGAAGCUAACGCAUUAAGCAUUCCGCCUGGGGAGUACGGUCGCAAGGCUG
rnacentral:rRNA from 1 species